AGGGGCCAAAAACUAGCAUUUUUCUAGUUUCCAGACAAUAACUUGUGUUCAAGUGUAUGGAUCUCUCUGAAAUUGUACUGCAAGGUACCAUACCACAAAGGGAAGGCUGGGAUUGAUUUUGGGGGUAAUUGCUUCAAAAUUUGAGGAAUUGGGGGCCGAAAAGGGGCAAAAAACAAGCAUUUUUAUACGACCGCAAAAUUUUUUUUGGGAUCGUAUAAUGGUAUGAUGUUGUCGUCGUCGUCCGAAGACACAUUGGUUUCCGGACAAUAACUUUAGUUUAAGUGAAUGGAUCUUUAUGAAAUUUUUUAAGAAGGUUCAAUACCACAAAAGGAAGGUUGGGAUUGAUUUUGGGGAUGAUGGUCCCAACCGUUUAGGAAUUAGGGGCCCAAAAAGGGGCCCAAAACAAGCAUUUUUCUAGUUUCAGGAUAAUAACUUGUGUAUAAGUAUUUCAAUUGCUCUGAAAUUGUACCACAAUGUUUAAUACCACAAGUAGAAGGUUGGGAUUCAUUUUAGGGGUUAUGGGGCCAACAGUUUAGGAAUUAAGGGCCAAAAAGGGGCCAAAAACAAGCAUUUUUCUAGUUUCCAGACAAUAACUUGUGUGUAAGUGUAUGGAUCUCUCUGACAUUGUACCACAAUGUUCCAUAUGACAAAGGGAAUGCUGGGAUUGAUUUUGGGGGUAAUUGCCUCAAAAUUUUAGGAAUUAGGGGCCAAAAAGGGGCAAAAAACAAGCAUUUUUAUACGACCGCAAAAAUUUUUUGGGGAUCGUAUAAUGGUAUGAUGUUGUCGUCGUCGUCCGAAGACACAUUGGUUUCCGGACAAUAACUUUAGUUUAAGUGAAUGGAUCUUUAUGAAAUUUUUUAAGAAGGUUCAAUACCACAAAAGGAAGGUUGGGAUUGAUUUUGGGGAUGAUGGUCCCAACCGUUUAGGAAUUAGGGGCCCAAAAAGGGGCCCAAAACAAGCAUUUUUCUAGUUUCAGGAUAAUAACUUGUGUAUAAGUAUUUCGAUUGCUCUGAAAUUGUACCACAAUGUUUAAUACCACAAGUAGAAGGUUGGGAUUCAUUUUAGGGGUUAUGGGGCCAACAGUUUAGGAAUUAAGGGCCAAAAAGGGGCCAAAAACAAGCAUUUUUCUAGUUUCCAGACAAUAACUUGUGUGUAAGUGUAUGGAUCUCUCUGACAUUGUACCACAAGGUUCCAUAUAACAAAGGGAAGGCUGGGAUUGAGUUUGGGGGUAAUUGCCUCAAAAUUUUAGGAAUUAGGGGCCAAAAAAGGGGCAAAAAACAAGCAAUUUUCUAGUUUCAUGACAAUAACUUGUGUGUAAGUGUAUGGAUCUUUCUGAAAUUGUACUACUAGGUUCCAUAUCACAAAGGGAAAGCUGGAGUUGAGUUUGGGGGUAAUUGCCCAAAACGUUUAGGGAUAAGGGGCCAAAAAUUAGCAUUUUUCUAGUUUCCAGACAAUAACUUGUGUUCAAGUGUAUGGAUCUCUCUGAAAUUGUAUUGCAAGGUACCAUACCACAAAGGGAAGGCUGGGAUUGAUUUUGGGGGUAAUUGCUUCAAAAUUUUAGGAAUUAGGGGCCAAAAAGGGGCAAAAAACAAGCAUUUUUAUACAACCGCAAAAAUUUUUUUGGGAUCGUAUAAUGGUAUGAUGUUGUCGUCGUCGUCUGAAGACACAUUGGUUUCCAAACAAUAACUUUAGUUUAAGUGAAUGGAUCUUUAUGAAAUUGUUUAAGAAGGUUCAAUACCACAAAAGGAAGGUUGGGAUUGAUUUUGGGGAUGAUGGUCCCAACCGUUUAGGAA